AUACGGAGGAUGCAAGCGUUAUCCGGAUUUAUUGGGUUUAAAGGGUGCGUAGGCGGAUGAUUAAGCGUGAGGUGAAAUGCCACUGCUCAACAGUGGAACUGCCUCGCGAACUGGUUGUCUUGAAUGCUCCUGCCGUGGGAGGAAUGCGUGGUGUAGCGGUGAAAUGCAUAGAGAUCACACAGAACACCGAUUGCGAAGGCAUCUCACGAAGGGGUGAUUGACGCUGAGGCACGAAAGCGUGGGGAUCAAACAGGAUUAGAUACCCUGGUAGUCCACGCAGUAAACGAUGAUAACUAACCGCUGGGUCGUAGUGAUUCAGUGGCCAAGCGAAAGCGAUAAGUUAUCCACCUGGGGAGGACGACCGCAAGGUUGAAACUCAAAGGAAUUGACGGGG
rnacentral:rRNA from 1 species